GCACUGCUGAGGAGUCCCACAACAGGACGAAACGGCAGUCCAGUGU
rnacentral:hammerhead_ribozyme from 1 species